AACGCACGAGACCUGCGGACCUGCGGAAGGAUCAUUAGUGAACGCCCUCACGGGCUUAUAACUAUUCCAAACCUCUGUGAACCGUGCCCCUCGGGGCUAUUUUACAAACAUGGUGUAAUGAACGUCAUAUAUCAUAACAAAACAAAACUUUCAACAAUGGAUCUCU
rnacentral:misc_RNA from 1 species